rnacentral:rRNA from 1 species
AUGCCAUCCUGGAAUGACGAGGAGAGCUCGGACGAGGACAUCAACAUGGUUUCAAUGGAUCCUCAGCUCGUUGAAACCCCUGACAGUGUGGUGGAACCAUCUUUCUGUGGUUCUUACACUGAAUCUGAGCCAACGUGCAUGAUGCAUCAUCAGAGGCCGAAGAAGAUGGUGGAGGGAGUAGGUGUGAACUGUGGGGUUGUGGAGUGGGUGGAUGGUCCUUGGCCAGAGAUUCUACAAAGGUGCCUAACCAGGAUUUGGGACAUGUACCAUGAGCAGAACUUGGGGACGGUGAAUGACAAACAAGCCCAUGAGAAAGAGGUGGCCAAGCUACAGAAGGAAAUUGAUUUCCUGUCAAACAACUACAUCCAGUUGGUGGAAGAUGUAUCCAAGCUAUUUGACUAUCAAGAUGGCAAGAUGUCUCAUGACAUGGACUAUACCAGUCAGGCAAUCAAUGAACUAAAUGAGAAGAAGAAACAACUUGAGGAUCAGGCAAAGAUUGAGUUAAGUAUGGAAAAGCUGAAGCUUGCCAAGGAGCAAAGGUGCAUUCUUCAAAGCCAAGCAGAUAUCAUUCAGAACAUGAGGAAGGCCAUGAAGGAAGUGGAGGGGGACAGGGACCUACUUAAGCAAGAGAAGAAGAACCUGGAGUAUCUGAUUGCUGAUCUGCUCAAUGCUGGGCAUGCCAGCAAAGAUAAGCUGGAGAGGAUCAAGGCAAUUAUGAAUGAGUGA